ensembl:snRNA U2 U2 spliceosomal RNA
AUCGCUUCUCGGCCUUUUGGCUAAGAUCAAGUGUAGUAUCUGUUCUUAUCAGUUUAAUAUCUGAUACGUCCCCUACCCGGGGACCAUAUAUUAAAUAGAUUUUUGGAACAGGGAGAUGGAAUAGGGGCUUGCUCCGUCCACUCCACGCAUCGACCUGGUAUUGCAGUACCUCCAGGAACGGUGCACCCCCU